rnacentral:lncRNA from 1 species
CACCUGCAGGUGGGAACCUCAGCGUGGAUUUCAGUUCAGUGUUGGAGGAACCCUGCUCCAGGACAGAAUGCAUCUCUGAUUACAUGGGCACCAAUAUAAGGAUCAACCACGUGGGGGAAGAUUUCAUGUCCAUACUGUGAAAAAGCCUACUGGGACAUCCUACCACCCAUGAAGCCAGUAACUAAUGUUCUUGCUUUUCUAACUCAUCCAUUCUGCAUUCAUUAGAAGUGUAGCAGAGUUUAAACAGCCUGCAAGUAGCCCUUAUCUGCAUGGAGUCUGAAUGGCUGAGUAAUCUAACUGGACAGGAGCCAUUUAUGGCAGUCAACAAGGAGGAGCAGAGGGAGAUCUCUGGGGAAGGGGAGACUGGGAGAGAUCCAGCCUCGAGUUCUGAAGCCUUCCUGGAAAAAGGAGGCAGAGUCAUGUCAGUCUUCCCACAUGCCCAUACACAGAGGUGCUUUCUGAACUACUGUGGGGGUCAUACAGCUGGAAGUCUAUAUUAAAUAAAUGUUCAAAACAUUACUUUUUUAUUAUUACUCUUUAGAUUAAAAUGUUUAAAACAUUGCUCUUUUAUUACUAUU